GACGAACGCUGGCGGCGUGCUUAACACAUGCAAGUCGAACGGAAAGGCCCUGCUUUUGUGGGGUGCUCGAGUGGCGAACGGGUGAGUAACACGUGAGUAACCUGCCCUUGACUUUGGGAUAACUUCAGGAAACUGGGGCUAAUACCGGAUAGGAGCUCCUGCUGCAUGGUGGGGGUUGGAAAGUUUCGGCGGUUGGGGAUGGACUCGCGGCUUAUCAGCUUGUUGGUGGGGUAGUGGCUUACCAGGGCUUUGACGGGUAGCCGGCCUGAGAGGGUGACCGGCCACAUUGGGACUGAGAUACGGCCCAGACUCCUACGGGAGGCAGCAGUGGGGAAUAUUGCACAAUGGGCGGAAGCCUGAUGCAGCAACGCCGCGUGCGGGAUGACGGCCUUCGGGUUGUAAACCGCUUUCGCCUGUGACGAAGCGUGAGUGACGGUAAUGAGUAAAGAAGCACCGGCUAACUACGUG
rnacentral:rRNA from 1 species